rnacentral:rRNA from 1 species
AGCGAACGCUGGCGGCAGGCUUAACACAUGCAAGUCGAGCGGGCAUCUUCGGAUGUCAGCGGCAGACGGGUGAGUAACACGUGGGAACGUACCCUUCGGUUCGGAACAACUCUGGGAAACUGGAGCUAAUACCGGAUACGCCCUUAUGGGGAAAGGUUUACUGCCGAAGGAUCGGCCCGCGUCUGAUUAGCUAGUUGGUGGGGUAACGGCCUACCAAGGCGACGAUCAGUAGCUGGUCUGAGAGGAUGAUCAGCCACACUGGGACUAAGACACGGCCAGGACUCUUACGGGAGGGAGCAGUGGGGAAUAUUGGACAAUGGGCGCAAGGCUGAUCCAGCCAUGACGCGUGAGUGAUGAAGGCCUUAGGGUUGUAAAGCUUUUUUGUCCGGGACGAUAAUGACGGUACCGGAAGAAUAAGCCCCGGCUAACUUCGUG